GGUCUUGUGGUUUAGUGGUAUAAUUCUCGCUUAGGGUCACACCCUAUAGCCUUACUGCGAGAGGUCCCGUGUUCGAUCCACGGCAAGACCC